rnacentral:rRNA from 1 species
AUUGAACGCUGGCGGCAGGCUUAACACCUGCAAGUCGAGCGAGCGGCGGACGGGUGAGUAAUGUCUGGGAAACUGCCUGAUGGAGGGGGAUAUCUACUGGAAACGGUAGCUAAUACCGCAUACCAUCAGAUGUGCCCAGAUGGGAUUAGGUAGUAGGUGGGGUAAUGGCUCCCCUAGGCGACGAUCCCUAGCUGGUCUGAGAGGAUGACCAGCCACACUGGACCGGAGACACGGUCCAGACUCCUACGGGAGGCAGCAGUGGGGAAUAGUGCACAAUGGGCGCAAGCCUGAUGCAGCCAUGCCGCGUGUGUGAAGAAGUCCUUCGGGUUGUAAAGCACUUUCAGCGAGGAGGCGUUACUCGCAGAAGAAGCACCGGCUAACUCCGUGCCAGCAGCCGCGGUAAUUC